UCAAUAUAUUGCUCUUAUGGCCCCAAUAAGUUUGUUCCAUUCAGCUCAUUUAUGAGUCUUCUAAGUGUGAAUUCAUUUUGCUGCAGUAAGACUUUGAAAAUUGUAAGAGAGUCGAAUCUCAAAUCUCUCUCCCAGCCCCAUAAUGCCAUGUGAGACUCUCCGUUCCACCAAACAAUAGUUUUUGUUGAAAUGCCCAUCGACCGGUACAAACAGAGAGGCUAAGUUGUGGUUGUGCCGCUAGCAAGUUGUCCUACCCAUCUACCAGUACAAACAGGGAGGCUAAGUUUUGGUUCAUGGUGUGAGCAAUUUGGAGCACAAAUUAGAGCCGUAGUCAAUCUAUCUCACUAUUUCAACUCUUUGCUAUCUUGCUUAUUUGUUUGGAAAAGGUUAUGGUCGAGAGAGCGAGAAUUCUUAAUUUAGAUAUGAGCAAGUUAUGUUAAUCAAAUGACAUUUCCUAUUCUCUUUUGUUUAGUUGACAACUAUUAAUAAGU